GGUCUUGGAAUAAGGGGUGGGUAAGGACGGUGCCAGCCGCCGCGGUAAUACCGGCGCCUCAAGUGGUAGUCGCUUUUAUUGGGCCUAAAACGUCCGUAGCCGGUCUGAUACAUUCGUGGGUAAAUCAACCAGCUCAACUGGUUGAAUUCUGCGAGGACGGCCAGACUUGGGACCGGGAGAGGUGUGGGGUACGCUCAGGGUAGGGGUAAAAUCCUGUCAUCCUGAGCGGACCACCUGUUGCGAAGGCGCCACACUAGAACGGAUCCGACGGUCAGGGACGAAGCCUAGGGGCACGAACCGGAUUAGAUACCCGGGUAGUCCUAGGUGUAAACGCUGUGGACUUGAUGUUGGGGGUGCUCCGAGCACUCUCAGUGUCGAAGCGAAGGUGAUAAGUCCACUGCCUGGGAAGUACGGUC
rnacentral:rRNA from 1 species